rnacentral:rRNA from 1 species
CCUACGGGAGGCAGCAGUCGAGAAUCAUUCACAAUGGGGGAAACCCUGAUGGUGCGACGCCGCGUGGGGGAAUGAAGGUCUUCGGAUUGUAAACCCCUGUCAUGUGGGAGCAAAUUAAAAAGAUAGUACCACAAGAGGAAGAGACGGCUAACUCUGUGCCAGCAGCCGCGGUAAUACAGAGGUCUCAAGCGUUGUUCGGAAUCACUGGGCGUAAGGCGUGCGUAGGCUGUUUCGUAAGUCGUGUGUGAAAGGCGCGGGCUCAACCCGCGGACGGCACAUGAUACUGCGAGACUAGAGUAAUGGAGGGGGAACCGGAAUUCUCGGUGUAGCAGUGAAAUGCGUAGAUAUCGAGAGGAACACUCGUGGCGAAGGCGGGUUCCUGGACAUUAACUGAUGCUGAGGCACGAAGGCCAGGGGAGCGAAAGGGAUUAGAUACCCAUGUAGUC